UAGUUUGAUUCUGGCUCAGAUUGAACGCUGGCGGCAUGCUUUACACAUGCAAGUCGAACGGUAACAGGCCUUCGGGUGCUGACGAGUGGCGAACGGGUGAGUAAUGCAUCGGAACGUGCCCGGUCGUGGGGGAUAACGCAGCGAAAGCUGUGCUAAUACCGCAUACGAUCUGAGGAUGAAAGCGGGGGACCGAGCAGCAAUGUUUGGCCUCGCGCGAUCGGAGCGGCCGAUGUCGGAUUAGCUAGUUGGUGGGGUAAAGGCCUACCAAGGCGACGAUCCGUAGCUGGUCUGAGAGGACGACCAGCCACACUGGGACUGAGACACGGCCCAGACUCCUACGGGAGGCAGCAGUGGGGAAUUUUGGACAAUGGGCGCAAGCCUGAUCCAGCAAUGCCGCGUGCGGGAAG
rnacentral:rRNA from 1 species